UUAGGGAUAAGGGGUGCCACCAUCAGGUGGCCGCAGAGAAUAGGCCCAAGCGACUGUUUACCAAAAACAUAGGUUUCUGCUAAGUCGCAAGACGAUGUAUAGGAGCUGACGCCUGCCCGGUGCUGGACGGUUAAGGGGAUCUGUUAGAGCAAUCGAAGCAGUGAACUUAAGCCCCAGUAAACGGCGGCCGUAACUAUAACGGUCCUAAGGUAGCGAAAUUCCUUGUCGGGUAAGUUCCGACCCGCACGAAAGGCGUAACGAUUUGGGCACUGUCUCA
rnacentral:rRNA from 1 species